GGUCUGGUUGUCUAAGUGGUGAGAGCGUCCACUUCGGAUGCGGGAGGUCGCGGGUUCGAACCACCGGCCGAAUCA